rnacentral:rRNA from 1 species
GACGAACGCUGGCGGCGUGCCUAACACAUGCAAGUCGAACGAGGUCCAUGCAGUGGCAACACUGUGGAAGACCUAGUGGCGAACGGGUGAGUAACACGUGAGGAACUUGCCCCGGAGACCGGGAUAACCCUCCGAAAGGAGAGCUAAUACCGGAUGUCCUCACCGAGUCGCAUGGCUUGGUGAGGAAAUGGAUUCCGCUCCGGGAGAGCCUCGCGGCCUAUCAGCUAGUUGGUGAGGUAACGGCCCACCAAGGCAUCGACGGGUAGCUGGUCUGAGAGGACGAUCAGCCACACUGGGACUGAGACACGGCCCAGACUCCUACGGGUGGCUG